UUACAGUCAAGUUGGGAAGACAGAGGGGUCAAACAUUGAAUUAUGAGCCAUGACAAGUGGUGGGAAAAGAUGAUACAAGAGGCUGAAAUAAUGUCUAAAAGAUGGUCCUGACCUGGGCUGGUAGUUCUGGGAAUGCCUCACUGAGAAAGUGAUGUUUGAAUUAAAAUCUGCAGGAAGGGAAAGAAUUAACUAGGUAAACAUGGGGAGAAGAAAGCGUACUGGGGAGAGAAAAAACACUAUGCAAAUGCCUUGAGCAAGGACUAAGCAUGGCAUGCUCUGGGAACUGGAAGAAGGCCAAAGUGACCAGAGAUCUGAGAGUCACUCCCAUGAGGGAAGAGCAUUGAGAAAUGAGGUUGGAAAAGGGGGAUAGGGGUCACAUUAUACACAGAAUGCAAAUUUUGUUCCUGAUCUUCAGAGCAAUUGGAAUUCAUUGAUAGGCUUUUAAGUUGGGAAAUGGCAUGCUCAUAUUUAGAUUAAAGAGAAAUCAAUUCACCAACAAAGUAGACAACUGGAUGGAGGAUAUGAGGUGGCCAGCAAUAUCCGGACUGGUGUUUGACCAGACCAAUUACGAUUGCUGACCUAUGAAGAUGGAAAGACUCCUCAGGUUCAAGUUUCUACCUAAAAAAGACUGCCUGGAUUUUUAAACUCUUUAAAAACAAUUUCUGGCCCAUACGCCAGUCAACUAAUCUUCAACAAAGCAGGAAAGAAUAUCCAAUGGAAAAAAAACAAAGUUUUUCAACAAACGGUGUUGGGAAAACUGGAUGGUGACAUGAAGAAGAAUGAAACCAGACCGCUUUCUUACACUAUACAUAAAAAUAAAUGCAAAAUGGAUGAAAGGCCUAAAUGUGAGACAUGAAACCAUCAAAAUCCUAGAGGAGAACAGAGGCAGCAACCUCUUUGAUCUCAGCUGCAGCAACUUCUUACUAGGCAUGUCACCGAAGGCAAAGGAAACAAAAGCAAACAUGAACUAUUGGGACUUCAUCAAGAUAAAAAGCUUCUGCUCAGCAAAGAAAGCAGUCAACAAAACUAAAAGGCAGCCUAUGAGAUGGGAGAAGAUAUUUUCAAAUGACAUAUCUGAUAAAGGGUUUGUAUCAAAAAUCUAUAAAGAACUUAUCAAACUCAAUACUCAAAAAACAAUGAACCGAGUGAAGAAAUGGGCAUAAGACAUGAAUAGACAUUUUUCCAAAGAAGACAUCUAGAUGGCUAACAGACACAUGAAAAGAUGCUCAACAUCACUCAUCAUCAGGAAAAUAUAAAUCAAAACCACAGUGAGAGACCACCUCACACCCAUCAAAAUGGCUAAAACUGACAACAGAAGAAACAACAGGUGUUGGUGAGGAUGCAGAGAAAGGGGAACCCUCUUUCACUGUUGGUGGGAAUGCAAACUGGUGCAGCCACUCUGGAGAACAGUAUAGAGAUUCCUCAAGAAACUAAAAAAAAAUUACCCUAUGAUCCAGCAAUUGCACUAUUAGGUAUUUACACAAAGGAUACAAAAAUACAGAUUUGAAGGAGUACAUGCACCCCAAUGUUUAUAGCAGCAUUAUCAAUAAUAGUCAAACUACAGAGAGAGCCCAAAUGUCUAUUGACUGAUUAAUGAAUAAAGAAGGUGUGGGGUAUGUGUGUGUGUAUGUAUGUACGUACAUACAUACAUACAUACAUAUAUACAUUCAUACUGGAAUAUUACUCAGCCAUCAAAAAGAAUGAAAUCUUGCCAUUUGCAAUGAUGUGGAUGGAGCUAGAAUGUAUUAUGCUAAGUGAAAUAAAUCAAUCAGAGGAAGACUAAUACUGUAUUAUUUCAAUCAUACAUUUGGAAUUUAAGAAACAAAACAGAACAUGUGGGAAGAGAAGAGAGGGACAUAAACUACAAGAGACUCUUAAUGAUAGACAACUAUGGGUUGACAAGGGAGGUGGGUGGGAGAUGGGCUAGAUGGGUGAUGGGUACUAAGGAGAGCAUGUGUUAUGAUGAGCAUUGGGUGUUGUAUGUAAGUGACGAAUCACUGAAUUCUACUUUUGAAACCAAUUAUUACAGUGUGUGUUAAUUAACUAAAAUUAAAAAAAAAAGUAAAACAAA